rnacentral:rRNA from 1 species
AGUGAACGCUGGCGGUAGGCCUAACACAUGCAAGUCGAGCGGAAGCACGGUACGAGCUUGCUCUUACGGGUGCCGAGUGGCGGGUGAGUGCUAAAUACCUCGGUAUCUGCUUUGUAGAGCGGGCUAACGCGGGGGCACAUACGCCAUUAGUCCAUACGGCGUACGGGUGGGAGCUUCGGAUCUUCCGCCCUUGCACGAUCCGAUGUCGGAUUAGCUAGUUGGUGGGGUAAAGGCCUACCAAGGCGACGAUCCGUAGCUGGUCUGAGAGGAUGAUCAGCCACACUGGAACUGAGACACGGUCCAGACUCCUACGGGAGGCAGCAGUGGGGAAUAUUGGACAAUGGGCGCAAGCCUGAUCCAGCCAUACCGCGUGUGUGAAGAAGGUCUUCGGGUUGUAAAGCCCUUUUGUUGGGAAAGAAAAGCAGCAGGUUAAUACCCCGCUGUUCUGACGUUACCCAAAGAAUAAGCACCGGCUAACUUCGUG